GGGUGCAAGCGUUAAUCGGAAUUACUGGGCGUAAAGCGUGCGCAGGCGGUUUUGUAAGUCUGAUGUGAAAUCCCCGGGCUCAACCUGGGAAUUGCAUUGGAGACUGCAAGGCUAGAAUCUGGCAGAGGGGGGUAGAAUUCCACGUGUAGCAGUGAAAUGCGUAGAUAUGUGGAGGAACACCGAUGGCGAAGGCAGCCCCCUGGGUCAAGAUUGACGCUCAUGCACGAAAGCGUGGGGAGCAAACAGGAUUAGAUACCCUGGUAGUCCACGCCCUAAACGAUGUCUACUAGUUGUCGGGUCUUAAUUGACUUGGUAACGCAGCUAACGCGUGAAGUAGACCGCCUGGGGAGUACGGUCGCAAGAUUAAAACUCAAAGGAAUUGACGGGGACCCGCACAAGCGGUGGAUGAUGUGGAU
rnacentral:rRNA from 1 species